CAGUAGCCACGGUAAUACAGAGGGUGCAAGCGUUAAUCGGAUUUACUGGGCGUAAAGCGUGCGUAGGUGGCUGUUUAAGUCGGAUGUGAAAGCCCUGGGCUUAACCUGGGAACUGCAUCCGAUACUGGAUAGCUAGAGAUCGGUAGAGGGCAGCGGAAUUCCGGGUGUAGCGGUGAAAUGCGUAGAUAUCCGGAGGAACACCGAUAGCGAAGGCAACUGCCUGGGCCUGAUCUGACACUGAGGCACGAAAGCGUGGGUAGCAAACAGGAUUAGAUACCCCAGUAGUCCCUGUCUCUUAUAA
rnacentral:rRNA from 1 species